rnacentral:tRNA from 1 species
UGCGCUGGUAGAUGAGGUGCAGGUCAACUGGGUCGUGGAUAGUUCGGGACGAAGAGGUCGUGGGUUCGAAUCCCGCCACCCCGAC